rnacentral:pre_miRNA from 1 species
UGUGUUCAAUGAUUUUGUUGUUUUGUAUUUGAAUUUCUUCUAUCGCGUUGGACAGCGGACAGUCGUUUCACA